AUUGAACGCUGGCGGCAUGCCUAACACAUGCAAGUCGAGCGAGCGGCGGACGGGUGAGUAAUGUAUGGGGACUGCCCGAUAGAGGGGGAUAACUACUGGAAACGGUGGCUAAUACCGCAUACUAUCGGAUAACCCAUAUGGGAUUAGCUAGUGGGUGGGGUAAAGGCUAACCGAGGCGACGAUCGCUAGCUGGUCUGGGAGGAUGAUCAGCAAAACUGGAACGGAGAAACGGCCCAGACUCCUACGGAGGUAGAAGUGGGGAAUAUUGCACAAUGGGCGCAGGCCGGAUGCAGCCAGGCCGCGGGUAUGAAGAAGGCCUUAGGGUGGUAAAGUACUUUCAGCGGGGAGGCGUUACCCGCAGAAGAAGCACCGGCUAACUCCGUGCCAGCAGCCGCGGUAAUAC
rnacentral:rRNA from 1 species